rnacentral:rRNA from 1 species
CUUGAACGCUGGCGGCAGGCCUAACACAUGCAAGUCGAGCGAGCGGCGGACGGGUGAGUAAUGUAUGGGGACUGCCUGAUGGCGGGGGAUAACUACUGGAAACGGUGGCUAAUACCGCAUACUACCCGAUAACCCAUAUGGGAUUAGCUAGUAGGUGGGGUAACGGCUUACCUAGGCGACGAUCCCUAGCUGGUCUGAGAGGAUGAUCAGCCACACUGGGACUGAGACACGGCCCAGACGCCUACGGAGGCAGCAGUGGGGAAUAUUGCACAAUGGGCGCAAGCCUGAUGCAGCCAGGCCGCGUGUAUGAAGAAGGCCUUAGGGUUGUAAAGUACUUUCAGCGGGGAGGCGUUACCCACAGAAGAAGCAACGGCUAACUCCGUGCCAGCAGCCGCGGUAAUUC